rnacentral:rRNA from 1 species
UACGGAGGAUGCGAGCGUUAUCCGGAUUCAUUGGGUUUAAAGGGUGCGCAGGCGGAUUAAUAAGUCAGUGGUGAAAUCCCAUAGCUCAACUAUGGAACUGCCAUUGAUACUGUUAAACUAGAGUAUAUUUGACGUAGGCGGAAUGCGACAUGUAGCGGUGAAAUGCUUAGAUAUGUCGCAGAACACCGAUUGCGAAGGCAGCUUACGAAACUAUAACUGACGCUCAUGCACGAAAGCGUGGGGAUCAAACAGGAUUAGAUACCCUGGUAGUCCACGCCCUAAACGAUGAUUACUCGUUGUUGGCCUGCACAGGUCAGUGGCUAAGGGAAACCGAUAAGUAAUCCACCUGGGGAGUACGAUCGCAAGGUUGAA